rnacentral:tRNA from 1 species
GUGGGUAUAGCUCAGCAGUAGAGCACAUGCUUAGCAUGCAUGAGGUCCUGGGUUCGAUCCUCAGUACCUCCA